UACGUAGGGCGCAAGCGUUAUCCGGAAUUAUUGGGCGUAAAGAGCUCGUAGGCGGUUUGUCGCGUCUGCCGUGAAAGUCCGGGGCUCAACUCCGGAUCUGCGGUGGGUACGGGCAGACUAGAGUGCAGUAGGGGAGACUGGAAUUCCUGGUGUAGCGGUGAAAUGCGCAGAUAUCAGGAGGAACACCGGUGGCGAAGGCGGGUCUCUGGGCCGUAACUGACGCUGAGGAGCGAAAGCGUGGGGAACGAACAGG
rnacentral:rRNA from 1 species